ACUCACCACAGCAAGGGUUGUGGGGUGGGCUGAGAGGAGCUUGGGUGGGCUCAAACGCCUCCCUGGGGGACUCUGAGGGCCGGGGAGCUGGUGGGAAUGGUGGUCCUCACGCCCCCCAGCCUUGCUCUCAGUGGCACCAGAAGACCUGGAUACCUACUGGUCUGGCACAGCCCCCAUCUGCGUGGGGGGCUGCAAGGGCAAGCACAAGGAGCUGAAGAGGAGCCAGUGUGGGAACGGCAGCUGCUGCUGGCUGGGCUACAAAUCCUUCUGCAGAGUGAACUGCGGGCGGCCUGAGGCGGAUUUCAACUCGGUGGUGCACGGGAACGACUGGUGGGUGGGCUCCGUGGUGCGCUACAGCUGCCGGCCCGGCUUCCUGCUGCUGGGGGACGCCGCCAGCACCUGCCUCUCUGAUGGCCGCUGGACCCCCAAGCCCACCUGCCUCCGGAUCUGCCUGCGGGGCCGCAUCGAGAUCAGCGAGCGCGACAUCGCCGGGGAGUGCUCGUCGUCCUGCAGCUCCCAGGCCCACCUGGGGGCCCCCCUGAACCGCGGCUGCAUCAAGAUCUCGUCCUGUGUCACCAAGCGGUCGGGCUGGGCCCGCUGGUUCCAGCGCUGCGACAUCUGCGAGUGCGACUGCCACGUGCCCUGCGGCUCCUCCAGGUAGAGCCAGGGCUGAGGGAGGCCUCCACCCUGCGUGUCUGUCCUCUUCACCACGUGUCUCCAUUGCCUUGCUCCUUCCAUAAGCUCCAUCCAUCCCAAGGCUGCCAUCUGAGAGGAGAUGUCCUGGACUCACCCUUGCCUUGCUGUCUGGCCCCGUCCCAGGGCUCUCCAGGGGCAGGGGAUGCUCACGUCCCCUUUUAGGGGGGAGGCAGCACGUGUGCCUGUGGCUGUUCCAGGAGUGUCUGUCCCAUCAGUGCUGCAGGCCGUGAUUUCUCCUUGUGCCAGGGAUUCCCUGCACACAGGCCAGGGCUAGAUCUGCCCUCUGUGUUUGCUGCAGCCCUCAGGCAGGGCUGGAUUGUGGGAUCUGCAGAGCAGCCUGGCCAGGGAUGCAGCACCCCUUGCUGAGGAAUCAAGCGGGUCCAAACUGCCCUGGGAGCACUGGGGUCAGCACAGAUAACUGGGAGGAGAGGUUUCACCUCCCAGCUGCAAAGUCUUUCCCGUGGGCAGCUCCACACACUGACUGCUGGGCUCCUUCCAGAGGGUUUCUGGUCCUGCCCUGAGAGCCCCUUUCCCCAGGGGCCACCAAGAGACACUUGGUUCCAGCCAGGAACAGCCUUGUGCUCCCUGAGGAUUGCCCUGACUCCCCAGGAAGCAGCAAUGGAAAAGCCAGAGCUGUCAUUCCCCCAGGGAAGGAGGAGGUGGUCUGGAGCACAUGUGAUGCUGGGGGAACUGGAGGACCAGCAGCACCGCCAUGGGUAAUUAAAAAUAUAUUUACAGGAAACCACACGGGUUUUCCUGUCAUGCACAGAGGUUCUGCUGCCUGCUCUGUCCCUGGAGCCCUGAACAUCCAUGGCAGAACCAGGACAGGCUCCCCCUGCCACUGCCACUGUCCUGAAAGUGUGUGAGCCACCAUGGGGGCACAGUCAAAGCCACUGUAGGAAGGUCCUAGCUGGAGAGCAGAUGGAUGCUGAGUGUGCCCAUGGCACUGCCCACCAAGCCUGGCUUGGCACUGGACUCCAUCCCUGCUUCCUUCCACCUUGAAAUGACUCCACAGCAGGAUGCUGCAGCAGUUCCUGGUUGCUGCAUGGCCACCAGCCUGGGCUCAGGAUCUCCUGCAGCUGAGCAGGAAGGGGUUUAGCAUCAGGGGGGUCCCUCCCAGGCCCACCUUGUGCCCACCUGCAGGGAAGCAGAGCUGUUUGGCCCUGCACAGAGGGGGCCUGGGCUGUGACCUGCUAAGGGUGAGUAGCCUGGGGGUGGCAGGCAGAGUGAACUGGGUCGAGUACCACGUGCCUUUUGCUCCAUGUGGAGCUUGGCUCCAUGGCUACCUCCUCCUGCCCUCCCCUGGCCCAGCCCCUGGGCUGCUCUGCCCCGUGGCCUCCCCUGGCUUGACUGGGCUCUGCCAGGGGACCAAACCACUGCCCUGAGCUCUGUCCCAGCCCAAGGCUGGCUGUGGGAGGGGGGAAGCUCUCCUUUGCUCAACAGAUGGUUUUUUAAUUAAUACUCCUGUUUGUGCCACU